rnacentral:rRNA from 1 species
AUUGAACGCUGGCGGCAGGCCUAACACAUGCAAGUCGAACGAGUGGCGGACGGGUGAGUAAUGUCUGGGAAACUGCCUGAUGGAGGGGGAUAACUACUGGAAACGGUAGCUAAUACCGCAUACCAUCAGAUGUGCCCAGAUGGGAUUAGCUAGUUGGUUGGGUAAAGGCUCACCUAGGCGACGAUCCCUAGCUGGUCUGAGAGGAGGACGAGCCAUACUGGAACUGAUACACGGUCCAGACUCCGACGGGAGGCAGCAGUGGGGAAUAUUGCACAAUGGGCGCAAGCCUGCUGCAGCCAUGCCGCGUGUAUGAAGAAGGCCUUCGGGUUGUAAAGUACUUUCAGCGGGGAGGCGUUACCCGCAGAAGAAGCACCGGCUAACUCCGUGCCAGCAGCCGCGGUAAUAC